UCGCUGUUGCAUUUAGGGGGAAAAGGAAGUACAAAUAAUAACAAAGAAAGCAGCAGAACUGUGCUGUCGAAACGAUCACUUUUGUGUUACUACAGCACCACAGCCGUAUACCAGGAUGUCAUCAGCUAUGACGCUUAUUCCUGGCAGUCCCUGAAGUGCAUAAUGCUGCCUUCGCUGAUAUUCCUCAGCAGCUGGUAUCACUCCAAAAGGCCGACUCAGAUUAAGUCUGAGGCCGGUAACAUCAACAGUG